CAGGGAGACAACAAAAUGUAAAUAUUAAUUUUGUCACCUUAGGUCGAUCGGUAUCUCAGAUUCUUAAUUUUUUAAGAAUUUCAGUUUCUAAGUUUUUUCUAGGUCACACCCAUCACUUCUUCCUGGGCCAUUAGCUCAGGUGGUUAGAGCGCACCCCUGAUAAGGGUGAGGUCCCUGGUUCAAGUCCAGGAUGGCCCAUAUCUCUAUGUUGGGGGUAUAGCUCAGUUGGUAGAGCGCCUGCUUUGCAAGCAGGAUGUCAGCGGUUCGAGUCCGCUUACCUCCACUGAAUACCACCUCUUACAUAAUUUUAAAGAGGGAAAUUGUUUUGAGUCGUGUCCUAAUUUGCUCUGAGCGAAUCUAGCUUCCUAUUUUACUCAAUAAAUAAGAUGCUGGACUCAGUGAAUAUUUUUUCAUUGUUUUCAGAGAACCUUGACAACUGCAUAGAUUAUUUUUGAAGACAAUAAGCAUCUUUAAUGAUGCAGAUUUAUUAUUUGUGCGAAUGCAUUAAAUAACAAUUCUAUUAAGCUGAUGCUUCAAUUAUUGAAGUUAUU
rnacentral:tRNA from 1 species